ACCGCACUGUAUGCCAGCACAGCAUUGGCCGAUGCCGCAAGGGACGCCUGCUCCAUGAACGACAACUGCACUACCUGGGUGCGUUACCCCAGCACCCCGUACGACCAGGGCCAGUACCUGCCCAGCCAGCCCCAGUGGAUCCAGGCAGGCGCGAGUUGCACGUAUGUGAAGGCCCCGGGCUUUGUGACCGUGCGCCUUCCGCCAAGCCCCGCCCCGCCUUCUCCGCGCCCCCCUUCGCCUUCUCCACCUCGGCCACCCAGCCCGCCGCCUGCUCCGCCCAGCCCCCCGCCCCGGCCACCCAGCCCGGCGCCAGCUCCUCCCAGCCCGGUACCUCGGCCCCCGAGCCCACCACCUGCUCCACCCACCCCUCCAUCGCCGGUGCCCCGGCCAAUAGGUAUGUACGGCAAGCAUCGUACGCACCCUACAUUCAUUCAUUUUGGUAACCUGGGAGACAGACGGUAUGCAUGCAUGUCGAAAACAUAAUUAACCAGCACACAUUAUGGCGACCGCAGCGGCCUGUAUCCAGAGGCCACAUCACGUUGGUUCGACUAAUAACAUGCAGCCGGCUCUAGGGUUCAGCUGACAACAUGAACGCGCAAUACUUUUCGCAUACACUUGCAGUGUGCAGCCCGCCUGCCGGCUGGUGCGGUGGGGGCAACUACCAGGUGGCUGACAGUCGGACAGUGGACUGCGACGGCGACGGCACAGCCGACUACGUGUGUAUCGACGCCCUUGGCAACCGCGGUGUGAUCCUCAACAACCAGACCGCCAUUGCCUGUGAGGACACCUGGCCAUCUGUGGACCGGUCCGCGGCGCGUUGCCCCGUCUUCUUCCUGCAACGUGAGUUGGUGAUUGAUGAUGAUUGCGGCUUGGACACAUGCAUGCGGGUCAUCACGCACCAUGGCUCGUAUGUACGGACGGCAGUUGUACUCGUUGCCGUCUGUCACUAUACCGUCAUGCAUGCCUACGAUUGAUGCCUUGAUGCAUGUGCAUGCAUAGAGCAUAUCACAUUUUUAUUGCCACAUACCGUGUCCACGAAGGUUGGCAACGAUCGAAUGACGCAUUUUCCUCCUGCCCACUCGCUGGCGUCUACCUGCUGCAGGCUGUCCCAACGUCACUGGCUACAUCACCAUCCCGGAAUCUUACCCAGUGGCCCAGGCUGGCCAGACCGCACUGUAUGCCAGCACAGCAUUGGCCGAUGCCGCAAGGGACGCCUGCUCCAUGAACGACAACUGCACUACCUGGGUGCGUUACCCCAGCACCCCAUACGACCAGGGCCAGUACCUGCCCAGCCAGCCCCAGUGGAUCCAGGCAGGCGCGAGUUGCACGUAUGUGAAGGCCCCGGGCUUUGUGACCGUGCGCCGUCCGCCAAGCCCUGCCCCGCCUUCUCCGCGCCCCCCUUCGCCUUCUCCACCUCGGCCACCCAGCCCGCCUCCAGCUCCGCCCAGCCCCCCGCCCCGGCCACCCAGCCCGGCGCCAGCUCCUCCCAGCCCGGUGCCUCGGCCGCCGAGCCCACCACCUGCUCCACCCACCCCUCCAUCGCCGGUGCCCCGGCCAUUAGGUAUGUACGGCAAGCAUCGUACGCACCCUACAUUCAUUCAGUUUGGUAACCUGGGAGAUAGACGGUAUGCAUGCAUGUCGAAAACAUAAUUAACCAGCACACAUUAUGGCGACCGCAGCGGCCUGUAUCCAGAGGCCACAUCACGUUGGUUCGACUAAUAACAUGCAGCCGGCUCUAGGGUUCAGCUGACAACAUGAACGCGCAAUACUUCUCGCAUACACUUGCAGUGUGCAGCCCGCCUGCCGGCUGGUGCGGUGGGGGCAACUACCAGGUGGCUGACAGUCGGACAGUGGACUGCGACGGCGACGGCACAGCCGACUACGUGUGUAUCGACGCCCUUGGCAACCGCGGUGUGAUCCUCAACAACCAGACCGCCAUUGCCUGUGAGGACACCUGGCCAUCUGUGGACCGGUCCGCGGCGCGUUGCCCCGUCUUCUUCCUGCAACGUGAGUUGGUGAUUGAUGAUGAUUGCGGCUUGGACACAUGCAUGCGGGUCAUCACGCACCAUGGCUCGUAUGUACGGACGGCAGUUGUACUCGUUGCCGUCUGUCACUAUACCGUCAUGCAUGCCUACGAUUGAUGCCUUGAUGCAUGUGCAUGCAUAGAGCAUAUCACAUUUUUAUUGCCACAUGUGUCCACGAAGGUUGGCAACGAUCGAAUGACGCAUUUUCCUCCUGCCCACUCGCUGGCGUCUACCUGCUGCAGGCUGUCCCAACGUCACUGGCUACAUCACCAUCCCGGAAUCUUACCCAGUGGCCCAGGCUGGCCAGACCGCACUGUAUGCCAGCACAGCAUUGGCCGAUGCCGCAAGGGACGCCUGCUCCAUGAACGACAACUGCACUACCUGGGUGCGUUACCCCAGCACCCCAUACGACCAGGGCCAGUACCUGCCCAGCCAGCCCCAGUGGAUCCAAGCAGGCGCGAGUUGCACGUAUGUGAAGGCCCCGGGCUUUGUGACCGUGCGCCGUCCGCCAAGCCCUGCCCCGCCUUCUCCGCGCCCCCCUUCGCCUUCUCCACCUCGGCCACCCAGCCCGCCUCCAGCUCCGCCCAGCCCCCC
rnacentral:lncRNA from 1 species